UUAAAAAAAAAAAUUAUUGGGCGCCUGGGUGGCUCUGUUGGUUAAGCAACUGCUUUCGGCUCAGGUCAUGAUCCUGGAGUCCCGGGAUCGAGUUCCGCAUCGGGCUCCCUGCUCUGCGAGGAGCCUGCUUCUCCCUCUGACCCUCCCCCCUCUCAUGUACUCUCUCUCAUUCUCGCUCUCUCAAAUAAAUAAAUAAAUCUUUUAAAAAAAAAUUAUCUCAAGGCACAACAAUCAUAAAACUUUUGAUUGCUUAGAUUAAAUCUUAUAAGUUCCCAGAGAGAGAGAGACAUCCAGUCAUCUAUAAAGAGUUUGGAGUCAGAAUGCUUUCAGAAUGUAUAAUCCCCCCUGGAUACCAACAGACAGUGCAGCGCACCUUCAUAAAGCUCAGGGAGAAUAAUGAUCAAACUAAAUUAGAUACUUUUGAUUGUAAACGUUAGCACAUUAUACUUCCUGAGGUGCACCUCAAUUUUUGAGUUACUAGGAUAACUUGGAGACUGUUUGACGUCAGUUCACAUAGACCUGCUUCAGUUAGAGGCAGCAUAGUGUGGUGGUUAAGAGCUCAGACCCUGGAGCUAGUUUGUCAGUUCAAAUUCCAACUCUGGGGCUUACUAACCAUGUGAUACUGGGCAUAUCAGUUAGCCUCUGGACUCCCAUGUUUUCAUCUGUUAAGGGUAAUGAAUUGUUAUAGGAUUUACUUCAUUGGGAGUUUAUGUGUCUAGAGUGAAUCAGUGUGUCAGCCUAAAGUCAGCUGAUUGUCAAUGUUAACCACAUCUCCAAAAAGACCUUUACAGCAACAUUUAGAUUAGUAUUUGAUUAAAUAACUGGGUGCUAUAGCCUAGCCAAGUUGGUACAGAAUACUAACCAUUACAGUCAACCCCUUAUAAACUCAGCACCCAUACACAUCUCCUUAAAUCAUACUUAAUCUCCAAAUAAAUAACAAAGUCAUACUUCUAUUUAACACGAUACAACUCUUCUGCGUGUGUACUAAAAAAAAGAAAAAAGAAAAACAAAACAACUAACCCUUUAGCCAAAAGAAGAUGUCAAGUCCUUGGGUGAUGUUUACUCUUCUCAUCGAUGUCCUGUAACAAAGAUCACAAACACACACACCCAGUCAUAACGAAAUGUAGUUGUUCAUGAUAACUACAGCCCUUGUUUCUGCAACUGGUCAUUUGAUUGUGGCUGAUUUCUUCCUCCGUCCCCACCUCCUGCUUCCUUCCUUCCCUCCUUCCUAUGUUGUGGUAAGAACACUUAAUAUGAGAUCUUUCCCCUCAAAUUUUUAGGUGCACAAUACAGUAUUGUUAACUAUAGUCACAAUGUUGUACAGCAGAUCUCUAGAACUUUCCAUCUUACAUGACAGAAACUCUUCUCCCACUGAAUAGCAACUCCUUAUUUCCUCUUCCCCCGAGGCUCUGGCAAAGACCAUUCUACUCUCUGUUUCUGUUGGCGUGCUCUCCCAGGGCUGCACACUCUCCUAGCAGCUGUGUGCACUGCAGUGAAGGUCAGUGAUGAGGGUUAGGCCAGGGGUACAUGGUGGUGUAGACUGGUGACAAGACAGGGCCUGAUAUGGGUCGACAAGCAGCUGCAGCAUGUCAGCAUGUGCCCCCAUGGGUUCAUGCUGUGCUGAGGGAGAAGGAGGGGGAGAGUUCUAAAGAUUGCGAAGGGACAGGGCGCCUGGGUGGCUCAGUUGGUUAAGCGACUGCCUUCGGCUCAGGUCAUGACCCUGGAGUCCCGGGAUCGAGUCCCGCGUCGGGCUCCCUGCUCAGCAGGGGAUCUGCUUCUCCCUCUGCCCUCUUCCCUCUCGUGCUCUCUGUCUCUCAUUCUCUCUCUCUCAAAUAAAUAAAUAAAAUCUUUAAAAAAUAAAUAAAUAAAAGGGCGCCUGGGUGGCUCAGUUGGUUAAGCGACUGCCUUCGGCUCAGGUCAUGAUCCUGGAGUCCCGGGAUCGAGUCCCGCAUCGGGCUCCCUGCUCGGCGAGGAGCCUGCUUCUCCCUCUGACCCUCCCCCCUCUCAUGUGCUCUCUGUCUCUCUCAUUCUCUCUGUCUCAAAUAAAUAAAUACAUAAAUAAAUAAUCUAAAAAUAAAAAAAAAAUAAAGAUCGCGCAGGGACAGACUUCUCUGAACUCCCCUUUGUAUUUACCCACUGUGAAAUUGUCAACUCAGUAACUAUUUAAACAAGUUUUUUAGUGUCAUGGUGAGACUGCAAGAUACAUCAUAUUUACUCAACAGGUGUUUGUAAAAUGUAAUUUAGUUGAAAUACUUUCCAUUGUAGAGUUCAUAAGUCAUAUAGUUUGACUCCUGAACAAUGCAGGGGCAAGCGGGGGACAACCCCUGUGUAGCCAAAAAUCCACAUAUAACUUGACUGUGAGCGUAAGACACACAGCUCUCAGAAUGCUGACAACUCACUUCAUUCUAUACAUAUUUUGUUGAAAACAUCUAGAAUUUUAGCCCCCUUUUUAAAAUGAAAACCAACUUAAUUUCUUUAAGCUUUACUACCAUAUUAUCAAUUAUAUAGACUCAAAAAGCUUUACUUCCAUCCAGGCCGGAACUCAGGAUGGCUGUGUUCUUGUUAAGAUAUGUUGGCCAUCAUUGCCUCCGUGCCCACCUUAAUCCUCAGCUCUGAGUCAGAAAUGCUAUCCCUUUGGGAACUACAGCCAAAGAAGAGAUGGAGAGGUUCAGGAAUAAGAAUACUGUUUAAGCCAUCCUCUGUCUCCCCAUAUCACUAUCUACAGUUGGUCUCUUCCCAUAGUGAUGUCUGUUUGCCACCAGGUUACUGGUGUGCCUUGGGUGUAGGGGUCUCUUUUUGGCUUGUCAGCCCUGUUGGUCCCUGGGAACUUUGAGAUUCAUUCGGAACAUGUGAAGUUCCUGUGUCUGGGGCCAUCACUGAUCUACACAGCCAAGUUUGCACUUCUCUGCCCUCUCAUGUAUCCUAUCUGGAAUGGAAUCUGACACUUGAUGUGGGACCUAGGGAAAGGCCUGAAGAUUCCCCAGCUGUACCAGUCUGGAGUGGCUGUCUUAGUUCUUACUGUGUUGUCCUCUGUAGGGCUGGCAGCCGUGUGAAGAGCUGAAGUUCCUAGCAUUGUCUUCCUACAAACGAUUCACUGACCUAUCUUCCUGUUUGUUACGCUCUUCUCCAGCCAGGAUAGAGUUCUCCUGAUUUAUUAAUUGUUUGUGUUUGCAUAUCCCCUUGGAGCUCAGUAGUAGUAAAGGACCUUAGAGAACCAUAGCAAUAGAAAAUGGUCCAGUUUCCCCUUUGUUCUAAAGAUGGAAUGGGGGCGCCUGGGUGGCUCAGUUGGUUGGGCGGCUGCCUUCGGCUCAGGUCAUGAUCCUGGAGUCCCGGGAUCGAGUCCCGCAUUGGGCUCCCUGCUCGGCAGGGAGUCUGCUUCUCCCUCUGACCCUCCCCCCUCUCAUGUUCUCUGUCUCUCAUUCUCUCUGUCUCAAAUAAAUAAAUAAAAUCUUUUAAAAAAAUAAAUAAAUAAAUAAAGAUGGAAUGACUCAAAACUUCCCUUUUCCUGCCCUCAGCUUGCAGCCUACUCUGGGCAUAGGAGCCUUCAUUCUCUCUCCAUACUGGGGCUUCAUUUGUGCCGACAGUCAGCUUCUGGCUCCUUCUUUCUGAGACAGCAGAAACAAUGAUGGCUCUGUGGCCUCUGCCGUGGGGACUGGGAGUGGGGCUCCCAAAUUGUUUCUUGUGGUUGACUCCAAGUUUCAUAAGAUUGUGGUCCAAAAAUGUGCAUGGUAUGACCUCAGUCUUUUUGUACUGGUUGAGGCCUGAUUUGUGACCCAGUGUGUGAUCUGUUCUGGAGAAUGUUCCAUGUGCACUAAAAAAGAAUGUGUAUUCUGCUGCUUUAGGAUGAAAUGCUCUGAACAUAUCUGGUAAGUCUGUCUGGUCCAGUGUGUCAUUCAAAGCCCUUGUUUCCUUGUUGAUCUACUUAGAUGAUCGGCCCAUUGUAGUGAAGGGGGUGUUAAAGUCCCCUACUAUUAUUGUAUUAUUAUCUGUGAGUUUCUUUAGGUUGGUAGUAAUUGUUUUAUAUAUUUGGUUGCUCUCAAGUUGGGGGCAUAAUUCCACAUAACAGUCAGAUCAUAUGAUUCUUUCUCUGAUUGAAUUAUUUCACUUAGCAUCAUACCCUCUAGUUCCAUCCACGUCAUUGCAAAUGGCAAGAUUUCAUUUUUUGAUGGCUGCGUAAUAUUCCAUUGUGUUUGUGUGUGUGUGUGUGUGUGUGUGUACACACCAUAUCUUCUUUGGAUAAAGUAUUCUUGACUACAUAUUUUUCCCAUUUAGCACAUUGAAUAUAUCAUGCCACUUUUUUCUGACCUUCCAAGUUUCUAUGGAUAGAUCUGCUGCUAACCUUAUGUAUCUACUAUCCUUAUAGGUUAAGGACCUUUUGUCCCUAGCUGCUUUCAGAAUUCUCUUUAUCUUUGUAUUUUGCAAGUUUCA